rnacentral:rRNA from 1 species
AUUGAACGCUGGUGGCAUGCUUAACACAUGCAAGUUGCACGGCAGCAUGAUCUUGCUUGCAAGAUUGAUGGCGAGUAGCGGACGGGUGAGUAAAGCAUAGGGAUCUACCCUAAAGUGGGGGACAACGGAGGGAAACUUUCGCUAAUACCGCAUAAUACCUGUGGGUUAAAGUCUGCUUAGGCAGGCGCUUUAGGAUGAACCUAUGUCAGAUUAGCUAGAUGGUGGGGUAAAGGCCUACCAUGGCGACGAUCUGUAGCUGUUCUGAGAGAAGAUCAGCCACACUGGGACUGAGACACGGCCAGACUCCUACGGGAGCAGCAGUGGGAUAUGACAUGGGGCACCUGAUCCAGCAAUGCCACGUGUGUGAAG